rnacentral:lncRNA from 1 species
GCCAGACCACCUUGAGCACCACGGUCCGGAAGCCAAGAGCAUGAGCAGACCAAAAUCAGAAUGGAUUAACCAGGAAACCCUAGACAAAUCCCUAAAAAACAACAAAGCCCUUGAUGAGCACAAACACAUCACAAAGGGAAAGACAAACAAGGGAGCAAAUAAUCACCUCAGCCAUCUUAGAAGCCCACUCGGUGUGCUCCCUCUCCGGCCGACCCGCAAGACAGCCCCAACGCCACGCCACCGUCCCAACCGUGAAACAGCCAGAGAAGCAAGGAAGAUGGUAAGAAACAAGCGAAAUAAAAGGUAGUGGGCUCCAAUAUAAACAUUAACCAGCCUAAAGACGCUGUUAUUAGAAACAUGACACCGUGGUUUCUGCUGGUUUAUCAAGAAAUUAAAACAAGCCAUUGAACCGACAACUUGCUUACUCUUAACCAGAUGAAAUCAAGGACCAACAACAAACAAUAGAAGUCAAGAACAACUUAUAUGCAAUAAAGGUAUGAGAGAGAAGAAAUAUUCACAUAAGACGGCUAUAAACAC